rnacentral:lncRNA from 1 species
UCUGGCUCUAAGAAGUAUCCUCGGAAUGAUGGUAUGGCUAUAGAAGAGUCCAUCCAAAUAUGUCUGUAGCAAAAUCUAAUCCGUAAGAUGCUCCAAGCUGCAUAGGAUAGUAACCAUUAGAAGAUACCUCGGAUGCACCAUAUCCAUAUGGAUCAUAAAGUGACUGCAGAUAAUAGGAUCCAUAAUGCGAGGAUCAUCUAGAUACAUCCAUGGAUCCUACUCCACGUACAAGAUCGUCUGCAGCUGCAUC